AUACGGAGGAUGCGAGCGUUAUCCGGAUUUAUUGGGUUUAAAGGGAGCGUAAGCGGACGCUUAAGUCAGUUGUGAAAGUUUGCGGCUCAACCGUAAAAUUGCAGUUGAUACUGGGUGUCUUGAGUACAGUAGAGGCAGGCGGAAUUCGGGGGGUAGUGGUGGAAUGCUUAGAUAUCACGAAGAACUCCGAUUGCGAAGGCAGCUUGCUGGACUGUAACUGACGCUGAUGCUCAAAAGUGUGGGUAUCAAACAGGAUUAGAUACCCUGGUAGUCCACACAGUAAACGAUGAAUACUCGCUGUUUGCGAUAUACAGUAAGCGGCCAAGCGAAAGCGUUAAGUAUUCCACCUGGGGAGUACGCCGGCAACGGUGAAACUUAAAGGAAUUGACGGGG
rnacentral:rRNA from 1 species